UCCUAAUUAACACUAAUUAAGUCCAAUUAAUCACAUUAAUCUCUUAUCAAUUAUCAGUAAAAUACAAAAAAUGAGAUAAACAAAAGGAAAGAGGACUUAGGUCAAAAUGGAUAGCCGUAUUUGCCUUCUCCCUCGUGUGUGACGGCGCCGGAACAGCCUCUUGACUCACACCUUCUACCGAACCUUGUCUCGUGUAUCACCAGAACCAACUCGCCAUCCUCUUCUCUCUUCUAAAUUCAUCUGCAUCCCUCUGAAAUCAACUCCGUUGCGAUGAUGUCGAAUCCUUUACCGUUACUGUAGCGAUGUUGAAGUUUGAAGUGCAGAGAUAUUUAGGAUGAUGAAGCGCAAAUGAUGAAGACGAAGACAACGAUGUUGUUGUGAUGUGAUGCAAGACGAGAAUGAACAUAAUGCGAUUUGGUUAUCAUGAAGACUAAGCUUGGAGUUGCGGUUCCGCCGCGAUGAUGAAGAUUUGCGGUAAGCGGAAAUUAUCGCGAAGAAUCAACACAAUUUCUUGAAGAUCGUUGAGCCGAUAGAGACUGAAAUUCCUAAAUUGCGGCGAGUGCGAUGGCGUCGGUAAAGAGAAAUCAAGGUUGCAGGUUGAUGAUUCUGAUUAUAGAGCAAGAAUGGAGAAUCGGAGAAGUGAGGAAGAGUUGAAGGAUCCUUCAAUGGAAGAUUCGGUCGUUGAUUCAAUUGUUGCAGAGAGAAGGUUGAAGAGUGUGAAGGAUGAAGAUGAUGAUUGAAGAACGCCAGAGAGAGAGAGAUUCAGUUAGGUGUUUGUUGGAUGAAGAAUUUGAGAUUGUAUCGAAGCUUUUUACACUUGAUGAGGAUGAUGGAUUUGAGUCAGAGAGGAAAGAACGACGGAUGUUGAUGAAUGAAGAAGAUGAUUAUGGAACCGUGAUCAAGAUCAGGGGAGAGAGUGAGGGUCCUGAGAAAGGAGUUUGUUACGGUUUUCAGUUUCUGAAUUUUUUCUGUUAUACUGAGUUUCGGUUUAUCAAUUACAUUCUGUUCGCUGAGCCGGUUUUUUUCUGUGCAAUUUUCCUGGUUUUUUGUGAUAUGCCCAAUCGGUCUUGUGCUACGGCUUACUUGCAGGUCCGGUUUUGACAUGGUGCAAAGCUUCGGAUGAUUUUUGUGCACUUUUUCAAUGUAUAAUGACACACUUGUAUGCCAAAUGAAUCUUGUAAUGAAUGUAAUUAUAUACGGGACUUUUGGCUUAUUUGAAUUUGGAUUUGGACAUUUGAAUGAAUGUUUGAGAUUGAACACUGUUAUCUAAUGAUAUUUCUUUUGUAUUUUUGAAUGAACUUUAAUGGAUUUGAAUGAUGAUAACCAUAAUGAUGUGUAAAUUUGGAACAAAUGGUUGAAUAAAAUUGAAUGGAAUUUGCAUCAAUACUCGAAUGAAUAUUUUUUGUGAAUAAAUCUCAAUCAAUUUGCAAACUUCAAUGGACUCAAUCUUGGUGCCUUAAUUCAAACCAAACUUGUACAAUAUAAACCACCAGGAAAUUGGAAGCAUAAUAGCGUCUUGAACACAAUCUGAAUUCAUGGAAUUACUUGACUUAACUUCGAAUCCGAAUUAAUUUGCAUUCUUAAUGAACCUUUAAAUUCAAUCAGUAGUCCAAAUCAACUCGAAUUAUAAGCCACAUGCAAUUGAGAGAAUAAACAUGCCUUGAACAAAAUAAAACCACAAGUUCAUCACUCACACCAUGACACGCAUUGUACCUCAAACUGCCAUAACAAUAAUGUCUUGAGGAAUUCUUGAGGAAGAUAGCAA